ensembl:misc_RNA 7SK 7SK RNA
GGAUGUGAGGGCGAUCUGGCUGAGACAUCUGUCACCCCCUUGAUUGCCAGGGUUGAUUCGGCUGAUCUGGCUGGCUAGGCAGGCGUCCCCUUCCUCCCUCACCACUCCAUGUGGGUCCCUCCCAAAGCUGCGUGCUUGGUAGAAGAGGACGACCACCCCCGAUAGAGGAGGACCGUUUCCUAGGUCAAGGGUAAAGAGUAGCUGCGCUCUCCUGCUAGAAUCUCCAAACAAGUUCUCAAGAAAAAUACACACCUCGGUUCAUGAACUUGAUUUUUUUCUCCAACUCUGGCUGCAAACCUAGUUGGAUGAGAACUGAAUCAAAUUCAAUGAUUAGGUUCAAUGUUGACGUUU